ensembl:lncRNA
GUCUCUUCCACCCCAACCAUUGUAGGAUCCCAUGGUUCCAUGAUCCUAAAGAUUCCUCCCAGCCCAACCAUUGUAGGAUCUCAUGGUUGUAUGGUCUUUAAAACCAAAACCUUGUGGGAUCCCACAGUGCCAUGAUCCUAAAUGUCCUCUCCACCCCAACCCUUUUAGGAUCCUGUGGUGUUGCGGUCUUCAAGGUCCCUUCCACCCCAACCAUUGUAGGAUCCCGUGGUUCCAUGAUCCUAAAUAUCCUCUCCACCCCAACCCUUUCAGGAUCCCAUGGUUCCAUGAUCCUAAAGGUCCUCCCAUCCCAUCCCUUUUAGGAUCCUGUGGUGUUGUGGUCUUCAAGGUCCCUUCCACCCCAAUCAUUUUAGGACCCCGUGGUGUUAUGAUCCUAAAUAUCCUCUCCACCCCAACCAUUGUAGGAUCCCAUGGUUCCAUGAUCCUAAAGAUUCCUCCCAACCCAACCACUGUAGGAUCUCAUGGUUGUAUGGUCUUUAAAUCCAAACAUUGUGGGAUCCCACAGUGCCAUGAUCCUAAAGGUCCUCUCCACCCCAACCCUUGUAGGAUCCCGUGGUGUUAUGAUCUUUAAGGUCCCUUCCACCCCAACCAUUGUAGGAUCCCGUGGUUCCACGAUCCUACAGGUCCUCUCCAUCCCAACCGUUGUAGGAUCCCACAGUUCUGUGGUCUUUGAGAUCCCUAAAACCCAAACCUUGCGGGAUCCCACUGUGCCAUGAUCCUAAAGGUCCGCUCCAGCCCAACCCUUCUAGGAUCCCAUGGUGUUAUGGACUUUGAGAUCCCUUCCACACCAACCCUUGUGGGAUCUCAUGGUUCCAUAAUCCUAAAGGUCCUCUCCACCCCAACACUUGUGGGAACUCAUGGUUCCAUGAUCCUAAAGGUCCUCCUACCCCAACCAUUGUAGGAUCCCGCGGUGUUAUUAUCUAAGAUCCCCCCCACCACAACCAUUGUAGGAUCCCGUGUUUCCACGAUCCUAUAGGUCCUCUCCAUCCCAACCCUUGUAGGAUCCCAUGGUGUGAUGAUCUUUCAGGACCCUUCCACCCUAACCAUUGUAGGACCCCGUGGUUCCAUGAUCCUAAAGAUUCCUCCCAACCCAACCACUGUAGGAUCUCAUGGUUGUAUCGUCUUUAAAACACAAACCUUGUGGGAUCCCGCAGUGCCAUGAUCCUAAAGGUCCUCCCAUCCCAACCCUUGUAGGAUCCUGUGGUGUUAUGGUCUUUGAGAUUCCUUCCACCCCAACCCUUGUGGGAUCUCAUGGUUCCACGAUCCUAAAGGUCCUCUCCACCCCAACCCUUGUAGGAUCCCACAGUUCUGUGGUCUUUCACAUCCCUAAAACCCAACCCUUCUGGGAUCCCAUUCUGGUAUGAUCUUAAAGGUCCCCUCCACCCCAUCCACUGUAGGAUCUCACAGAUCUGUGAUCCUAAAGGUCCUCCCAACCCAUCAUCGAGUGCCAUAAACU